ACUUCCAUCCCAGAAUCCAGAGGCCCUAUAACAAACUGUCGGGUCUUUGGUGUUCUGUCUUAAUUCGCUGGCAAGUAAGGUGUCGUGAGAUUUAGUCAAUAAUGUCCUUCUUCACCCGACUACCAGUAUGGGUGCUUCAGGUCCCGAUACAUCUUGGUACUUCUAGGGUGAAUGGAUAGUUUGGAGGCAUGGGCAGCCUUGAGAACAUUCGUCCUGACACCGACGGAGACCCAAAUUCAGUCCCAAAAUGUACACAACCCAUCAUUUGAGUGUCUCAAAUUAGAAAACUCGUUAGAAGAGAACUUACUCAAAUUUUUGGUGAUUUCUUGGUAUGUGGAUUAAGCUUCCCAAAUCUUCAUGAAAAGAUCAGGCAAAACUCGGAUAUGAGCAAGAUAGGCACCAU
rnacentral:lncRNA from 1 species